rnacentral:lncRNA from 1 species
UAUAAAGACUGUAAUUAUUCUUGUUUGAAUAAUACCCUAUAAUAUGUGAAAAUUAUUUGACAGGUGGCUGUUUGAUAACAUUAAAAGAAAAAUAAUUAAAAAAUAAAAUUUUAAGGAAAGUCAGAAUCUGCCUUGCUCAACAUGAUUUUUAUGCUAAGUAAAGUCAGCCUAUAAGUUAAGUACAAGAAAUCUGCUAUAAUUAUUUUCUCAUGGAAUUAGUAAAGCUUGCUUAAAUUAGAGAUGAUAUAUAGGUAUGCCCCUGCUUUUUGAAAGACCUACACUAGUAUCUGUUUUUGCUAACUGAAAGAAAUCAAAGACAUGGGAAGGAGAUUGUUGCUUCCACGAAAAAAGGCAAAAAGCAAAAAUCUAGUUUAGCGUUUACUUGGUAGCCAGCGGUUACAGAAGCAGAGGGCACCCGGAACAGUGAGCGUGGCACCUCCAAACUCCUUCCCCGAGAACCACGGUCAGCAUCUCAGCGUCCAGCCCCCAUAGCUUUGAACCAUAUCUGUGAGCAUUUGUGUUUUAACUCUGUUUAUUUUGUGCAUCCGGUAGCAAGAUGUGACCUGAGGUUGGUUUCUUCUGCUACAUCAGUGUAUAGAGAAGCUGAACAUUUCAACCCCUUGCCGCAGUGACAGGUGACGAGUCUGAUUGUUUGCUGAUGUUGAUUUGGAAUGUUGAUGCUUCAGGAAAAAAGAACUCCAUCGAACAGACAAUCUGCACAGCUCACGAACUACAUAAAGAGCAUUUGCUAUAAAUAAAGUGUCAACCGGGCGCUGCA